UGGAGGGGCGGGAGGGUAGCCUAGUGGUUAGAGUGGAGGGGCGGGAGGGUAGCCUAGUGGUUAGAGUGGAGGGGCGGCAGGGUAGCCUAGUGGUUAGAGUGGAGGGGCGGGAGGGUAGCCUAGUGGUUAGAGUGGAGGGGCGGGAGGGUAGCCUAGUGGUUAGAGUGGAGGGGCGGGAGGGUAGCCUAGUGGUUAGAGUGGAGGGGCGGGAGGGUAGCCUAGUGGUUAGAGGGGAGGGGCGGGAGGGUAGCCUAGUGGUUAGAGGGGAGGGGCGGGAGGGUAGCCUAGUGGUUAGAGGGGAGGGGCGGCAGGGUGGCCUAGUGGUUAGAGGGGAGGGGAGGCAGCGUAGCCUAGUGGUUAGAGGGGAGGGGCGGGAGGGUAGCCUAGUGGUUAGAGUGGAGGGGCCGCAGGGUAGCCUAGUGGUUAGAGUGGAGGGGCGGCAGGGUAGCCUAGUGGUUAGAGUGGAGGGGCGGCAGGGUAGCCUAGUGGUUAGAGUGGAGGGGCGGCAGGGUAGCCUAGUGGUUAGAGUGGAGGGGCGGCAGGGUAGCCUAGUGGUUAGAGUGGAGGGGCGGCAGGGUAGCCUAGUGGUUAGAGUGGAGGGGCGGCAGGGUAGCCUAGUGGUUAGAGUGGAGGGGCGGCAGGGUAGCCUAGUGGUUAGAGUGGAGGGGCGGCAGGGUAGCCUAGUGGUUAGAGUGUAGAGGCGGCAGGGUAGCCUAGUGGUUAGAGUGGAGGGGCGGCAGGGUAGCCUAGUGGUUAGAGUGUAGGGGCGGCAGGGUAGCCUAGUGGUUAGAGGGGAGGGGCGGCAGGGUAGCCUAGUGGUUAGAGUGGAGGGGCGGCAGGGUAGCCUAGUGGUUAGAGGGGAGGGGCGGCAGGGUAGCCUAGUGGUUAGAGUGGAGGGGCGGCAGGGUAGCCUAGUGGUUAGAGUGGAGGGGCGGCAGGGUAGCCUAGUGGUUAGAGUGGAGGGGCGGCAGGGUAGCCUAGUGGUUAGAGUGGAGGGGCGGGAGGGUAGCC